UACGUAGGGUGCGAGCGUUGUCCGGAAUUAUUGGGCGUAAAGAGCUUGUAGGCGGUUUUGUAAGUCUGACGUGAAAUCCCCCGGGCUCAACCUGGGAAUUGCGUUGGAGACUGCAAGGCUAGAAUCUGGCAGAGGGGGGUAGAAUUCCACGUGUAGCAGUGAAAUGCGUAGAUAUGUGGAGGAACACCGGUGGCGAAGGCGGUUCUCUGGGCAUUACCUGACGCUGAGGAGCGAAAGUGUGGGGAGCGAACAGG
rnacentral:rRNA from 1 species